AUUAUAAAGCACUUGCAUCUCCUUCCCUUUAAACAUGAUAUAAAUCUUUGAGAACUUAAGAGCUCUUAUUGGGAAUAAUUACAAGUUGAUAUUAUUAAUAAUAUAGGAUCAAGAUGUAAGAUCUUACCAACAAGAAAUGGAAGUCAAUCCAAUAAAUCAAUUACUAACAAUUAAUAAAUAAAAUCUACUUAAUAUGCCAUAUUUUGGCCCUCAUAGAAGUAUCUUUCAUAGACAACACAUUUUACUUUGAUAAAAUAUAAUAUUAAUAGAUAGAUUUUAAAGAUCUAAAGAUGUGUAUACACUUAGACUAAGUCCUCACACUUGACGAUCUCUACCCUAUAAAAAUACUAGCUAUUCACUAAGUCAUCAAUUUUAAAGAAGAAUAACCUCUAAUUAUAGCAUCAAUAAAUUUGUACUAUUCAAAAAUAAACCUAUGCAUAGAAGACAACUCUUCUACUCAAUCGGCUAUCAAAAAAUACACAAGAGAAUUAGAGCACACUAUACCCAUCCUAUUAGAUGUCACAAACAUUGAUACAAUUACUUCUUUUAAUAAUGCUCAC
rnacentral:lncRNA from 1 species